rnacentral:rRNA from 1 species
UGGGGAAUAUUGCACAAUGGGCGAAAGCCUGAUGCAGCAACGCCGCGUGAGUGAUGAAGGCCUUCGGGUUGUAAAGCUCUGUCUUUUGGGACGAUAAUGACGGUACCAAAGGAGGAAGCCACGGCUAACUACGUGCCAGCAGCCGCGGUAAUACGUAGGUGGCAAGCGUUGUCCGGAUUUACUGGGCGUAAAGGAUGCGUAGGCGGAUUUUUAAGUGAGAUGUGAAAACCCUAAGCUUAACUUGGGGACUGCAUUUCAUACUGGAAAUCUAGAGUGCGGGAGAGGAGAAUGGAAUUCCUAGUGUAGCGGUGAAAUGCGUAGAGAUUAGGAAGAACACCAGUGGCGAAGGCGAUUCUCUGGACCGUAACUGACGCUGAGGCAUGAAAGCGUGGGUAGCAAACAGGAUUAGAUACCCUGGUAGUCCACGCCGUAAACGAUGGGUACUAGGUGUAGGAGGUAUCGACCCCUUCUGUGCCGCAGUUAACACAAUAAGUACUCCGCCUGGGAAGUACGAUCGCAAGAUUAAAACUCAAAUGAAUUGACGGGGUCAUAGCUGUUUCCU